CACAAUGGGCGCAAGCCUGAUGGAGCAACACCGCGUGAGUGAAGAAGGGUUUCGGCUCGUAAAGCUCUGUUGUUAAAGAAGAACACGUAUGAGAGUAACUGUUCAUACGUUGACGGUAUUUAACCAGAAAGUCACGGCUAACUACGUGCCAGCAGCCGCGGUAAUACGUAGGUGGCAAGCGUUAUCCGGAUUUAUUGGGCGUAAAGAGAGUGCAGGCGGUUUUCUAAGUCUGAUGUGAAAGCCUUCGGCUUAACCGGAGAAGUGCAUCGGAAACUGGAUAACUUGAGUGCAGAAGAGGGUAGUGGAACUCCAUGCGUAGCGGUGGAAUGCGUAGAUAUAUGGAAGAACACCAGUGGCGAAGGCGGCUACCUGGUCUGCAACUGACGCUGAGACUCGAAAGCAUGGGUAGCGAACAGGAUUAGAUACCCUGGUAGUCCAUGCCGUGAACGAUGAGUGCUAGGUGUUGGAGGGUUUCCGCCCUUCAGUGCCGGAGCUAACGCAUUAAGCACUCCGCCUGGGGAGUACGACCGCAAGGUUGAAACUCAAAGGAAUUGACGGGGGCCCGCACAAGCGGUGGAGCAUGUGGUUUAAUUCGAAGCUACGCGAAGAACCU
rnacentral:rRNA from 2 species